rnacentral:lncRNA from 1 species
GGGCUGGAGAGGAAGUCGCUGUCCCCGGGGCAGGCCAGUUUCUAGAUCCUGGUACUUACGUUCACCCUCCUGUCUCCCGCACUUGGAAACCUAAGCGCCUUUGAGCUGUUUUAAUAUCUCAAGUGUUUGUGGGUGAGAAAGGACGCGCUGCCAGGUCAGGGUGCUGCGCCACGAUGCUAGGGCCCUCUAGAGGCAGGAAGACCUGUUAACGGGUGCUGUUCGCAGUUUUUGGUUAUUUUCGCCCAUGGGGGUAAGGAUGCUCUAACGCGUGCCAGCCUCUGCGCGUGCGUACAGCUCUGCCUCGGGGAGCUGUCCCGGGAGCGCGAUGGUGUUUGCGCACGUUUCUGUCUUUUGGCUUGCGCAGUGACCCACCCAGUCCUGUCCUUGUGCAAAUUCAUUAAGACCCUGGCACGUGGAGCGCUCGCUCUCGCUUACCUAUUGCAUACUAGUUGACAAAUGCACAGCGUUUAAAGAGCUGGAAAUCCAAACAUGCCUGCCACGCUGAGGAAUGCUUGAGGACAAAAGGCUAUUCCUGUAUCCUAAGGCUACAAGAUCUUGAAAGUAUCCAACUUACUUGAGCCUUGGUUUUUUGUUUUUUGUUUUUUUUUUUUUUGGCUUUUUUUUUUUUCGAUUGAGAUGAUAAUACCAACCCAAGUAUUGUGAAAUUUGUAUAAUUUAAAAUGUUUAUGUCAAGGCCUUAAAAUGUUUAUGUCUAAAGCUGUGGCUCAAAGAUUAAGAAGAGUGCUUCCUGCUCUUGCACAGGACCUGGAUUUGAUUUCCAGCACCCGUGUAAGAAGGCUCCAGCUCCAGGGAUCCAAGGCCUUCUUGGUCUCUGUAAGCACCUGCACACACAUACAUAUAAACUUUAAAAAAAAAGUGUUCAGGUCACGUGCUUUGCUUAGUCAUUCCUAAAUAUUUCAGAGUGAUGGGAAGAACGGAAACUUUUGGUUAUCCAGAUAGAUGUUGGUUCGGACCCUGACCCACCAAUUUUAGCAGCGCGAUGAGAUUAGUUUCAUUUUAGCUUUAUGUUUGCAAGGUGUAUAUUGGUACUGACUUCAUGAGAGUGUUCAGUGUUGUGGGAAUAGUUUGGGUUUUUUUCCCCCCAAAAUAUUUGCCUUCAGAAACUGAAGACCUUGAAACCAAAUUAAAGAUUUGAGACAUUUAAAAUUA